rnacentral:rRNA from 1 species
GAUGAACGCUGGCGGCGUGCUUAACACAUGCAAGUCGAGCGGGCAAUUUAUCUAGCACUGAUUACUUCAAAUGGCUAUCGCCAGUGUAAUCAUGAAUUUCUACCUUAUUAAUAAAGAAAGAGAAAUUCAUGUACGCAAAUAGUGAUAACACAUUUUAGUGGAGUGAUGAGUGCUGGAUAAAUUGCUAGCGGCGGACGGGUGCGUAACACGUGGGUAACCUGCCCCUAUCACUGGGAUAACACACUGAAAAGUGUGCUAAUACCAGAUAACAUAAGCUUUUGGCAUCAUUAGCUUAUCAAAGAAUUUCGGAUAGGGAUGGGCCCGCGUCUGAUUAGCUAGUUGGUGAGGUAACGGCUCACCAAGGCAACGAUGGAUAGGGGAACUGAGAGGUUUAUCCCCCACACUGGUACUGAGACACGGACCAGACUCCUACGGGAGGCAGCAGUGAGGAAUAUUGGUCAAUGGACGCAAGUCUGAA